UCUAUUAAUAAAAAAAUAAUACAACACCAAUCACAAUAUAACUAAAAACUAAUACAAUACGGUGUGGUGCCAAACAUUAUAUAGUAUUGUUAUAAUACAGUGCUUAUGCAAUAAAAUAUAAUACAAUACAUCUGCAUUAAAAUAAUACAAUAUAACAUAAUACAAUAUAAUGUGUCAAACGUACCCUAAGAGUCUUCAUGGCCGAGGGCGGUGACAGUUUCUUUGAAUUUCUGAUGGCCUGCCUAUACGGAAACCAAUAUUGCCAUCUAUGAGAAAGAAGCAUUUGAUGACAUUCAGCAUGCAUACUGCCUCUCCAGUAAGCUUUUGCACUGUAAUCCUCAAAACUCCAUUCAGUUUCCAACAUCAGCUUUAACAUGACCCAAAAAUAAAGGAUAUUUAACUGAAUUCUUGCGUAUAAAUAACUAAAUACUUUUAUGAUUAGAUUUAGACUUUAAUUGAAUUUAUGGUUUAUAUAUCACAUCACAGGUAACCUCUUACUAUUUAUAUUCAUAUUUCAAUAUGUAGUAUUUUAAUGUUAAACUUCAAAUAUUUGGCAACAGUGAAAUUAUUGGAGAAUUAAGGAUCCCAAGUGCAGAAAAGUGAUCAUCGCUAUCGUUGAAAUAGAGUGAAAUCAAAUCCUAAGGAUUUAAAACCUCAAAAAAUUUAUUUCUUUUCCAUACAUUCAUUGAUUUUAAAACUCUUUCUAUAGCUUCAUUCUUCAUUAGAUGUUACGAAAAAUUAAAUAUAUUAAUUGGCACAAUUACUAAAUAUUAAUAUCUCAAGAACUUACGAAAACAGUAACUUAGGGAGACUCUAAGCGUAACUCAUCCAAUUACUUAUCAAUAACCUGCUAUUGUUUUUUUUUACAAAUCAUUACAUGUUUGUUCUGAAAACCAAAACAAGGACCUCACUCUGUUACAGCUUAUGUUACUUACGCACCCAAUGAGAAGGUCACGCGUAUGCUGAGGAGAGAGAAAAAGCAUGACUAACUGUUGAAGCUAGAUAUGUAAGUUACAGAAUCUGCAACUUAACCAACUCCCCAAAACAAGUAGACCCCACCACCAAUAAUUUUGCAACAACUCAACCCCACUCUCUUUUUUUUAAGAAGAAUAAAAUAAAAUAACUUCUUUUCUCUUUAUUUCACUGUUACUUGAUUCCAUAAAAUGUUUCAAAAUAAAAAAUAUAUAUAUUUUACAUUGCUUUUGAAAAUAAAUGAAUUUGGAAAUGUCUGAAAUUAGUCCCAUUUCCUGAACAAUUACCCCCAAAAAAAAAAGAACAUGUGAAGCUUGCUAAAUUAUUGGUGUUAUGUACUGUCUUUUAUUUCACUUUACUGUUAGAAUCACACAUUGUUUAUUUUGCUAAUUAAUUUAUUGAAUAUGUACCUUUUAACAAAAGAGUUGAAUUAUUGUUCAUCCAAAAUUUCGUCAUGUGUUAUUUUGACAUGAUACCAAUAUAAUACGCUAAUGCAAAUCGUCAUUGUGUUUAUAGAACAAUAUACUGUAUUUGUAGUAAUAGAAAGAGAGAUUAAUUUUUUUUAAAAUCUUAACUUGCUUUAUAAGUAGAAUAAUUCUAAAGAGAAGGUAGAUGCAUUUCAUUUUCCUCCUCAUUCAACAAUUUACUUUCUUUAUUCAACGUUUGAAGAAAGCAAAAUUGUUGAUAUUCUUAGGGCUAGUUUGGGAAUGUUGUACCUUUUAAUUGUUGCUAGCUGUGCUAUAAAAAUAAUCAACUGUGAAAAGAAUCAAUUAAGUGUUUCGAAAAUUUUGUCUUCAGAAGUAUUGUGAGUUUUGAAAACGGUUUGGUAAAUUUUAUUGUUAAAUUGCUUAGAGAAAAUAAAUGA
rnacentral:lncRNA from 1 species